UACGAAGGGGGCUAGCGUUGUUCGGAAUUACUGGGCGUAAAGAGCUCGUAGGCGGUUUGUCGCGUCUGCUGUGAAAACUGGAGGCUCAACCUCCAGCCUGCAGUGGGUACGGGCAGACUAGAGUGCGGUAGGGGAGAUUGGAAUUCCUGGUGUAGCGGUGGAAUGCGCAGAUAUCAGGAGGAACACCGGUGGCGAAGGCGGCACUCUGGGCCGGAACUGACGCUGAGGAGCGAAAGCGUGGGGAGCGAACAGG
rnacentral:rRNA from 1 species